AUAAGUUAUCGCUCAACGAUGGGCCUGCGUCUGAUUAGCUAGUUGUGGGGCAACGGCCUACCAAGGCGACGAUCAGUAGCCGGUCUGAGAGGAUGAACGGCCACAUUGGAACUGAGACACGGUCCAGACUCCUACGGGAGGCAGCAGUGGGGAAUCUUCCGCAAUGGGCGAAAGCCUGACGGAGCAACGCCGCGUGAGUGAAGAAGGCCUUCGGGUCGUAAAGCUCUGUUGAAGGGGACGAAUGUCAAGACUAUCAACAACGGUUUUGAAUGACGGUACCUUUCGAGGAAGCCACGGCUAACUACGUGCC
rnacentral:rRNA from 1 species